rnacentral:rRNA from 1 species
GACGAACGCUGGCGGCGUGCUUAACACAUGCAAGUCGAACGAUGAAGCCCAGCUUGCUGGGUGGAUUAGUGGCGAACGGGUGAGUAACACGUGAGUAACCUGCCCUUGACUCUGGGAUAAGCGUUGGAAACGACGUCUAAUACCGGAUACGAGCUUCCACCGCAUGGUGAGUUGCUGGAAAGAAUUUUGGUCAAGGAUGGACUCGCGGCCUAUCAGCUUGUUGGUGAGGUAAUGGCUCACCAAGGCGACGACGGGUAGCCGGCCUGAGAGGGUGACCGGCCACACUGGGACUGAGACACGGCCCAGACUCCUACGGGAGGCAGCAGUGGGGAAUAUUGCACAAUGGGCGAAAGCCUGAUGCAGCAACGCCGCGUGAGGGACGACGGCCUUCGGGUUGUAAACCUCUUUUAGCAGGGAAGAAGCGAAAGUGACGGUACCUGCAGAAAAAGCACCGGCUAACUACGUGCCAGCAGCCGCGGUAAUACGUAGGGUGCAAGCGUUGUCCGGAAUUAUUGGGCGUAAAGAGCUCGUAGGCGGUUUGUCGCGUCUGCUGUGAAAUCCCGAGGCUCAACCUCGGGUCUGCAGUGGGUACGGGCAGACUAGAGUGCGGUAGGGGAGAUUGGAAUUCCUGGUGUAGCGGUGGAAUGCGCAGAUAUCAGGAGGAACACCGAUGGCGAAGGCAGAUCUCUGGGCCGCUACUGACGCUGAGGAGCGAAAGGGUGGGGAGCAAACAGGCUUAGAUACCCUGGUAGUCCACCCCGUAAACGUUGGGCGCUAGAUGUGGGGACCAUUCCACGGUUUCCGUGUCGUAGCUAACGCAUUAAGCGCCCCGCCUGGGGAGUACGGCCGCAAGGCUAAAACUCAAAGGAAUUGACGGGGGCCCGCACAAGCGGCGGAGCAUGCGGAUUAAUUCGAUGCAACGCGAAGAACCUUACCAAGGCUUGACAUAUACGAGAACGGGCCAGAAAUGGUCAACUCUUUGGACACUCGUAAACAGGUGGUGCAUGGUUGUCGUCAGCUCGUGUCGUGAGAUGUUGGGUUAAGUCCCGCAACGAGCGCAACCCUCGUUCUAUGUUGCCAGCACGUAAUGGUGGGAACUCAUGGGAUACUGCCGGGGUCAACUCGGAGGAAGGUGGGGACGACGUCAAAUCAUCAUGCCCCUUAUGUCUUGGGCUUCACGCAUGCUACAAUGGCCAGUACAAAGGGCUGCAAUACCGUAAGGUGGAGCGAAUCCCAAAAAGCUGGUCCCAGUUCGGAUUGAGGUCUGCAACUCGACCUCAUGAAGUCGGAGUCGCUAGUAAUCGCAGAUCAGCAACGCUGCGGUGAAUACGUUCCCGGGCCUUGUACACACCGCCCGUCAAGUCAUGAAAGUCGGUAACACCCGAAGCCAGUGGCCUAACC